CUUAACACAUGCAAGUCGAGGGGCAGCAUGGUCUUAGCUUGCUAAGGCCGAUGGCGACCGGCGCACGGGUGAGUAACACGUAUCCAACCUGCCGUCUACUCUUGGACAGCCUUCUGAAAGGAAGAUUAAUACAAGAUGGCAUCAUGAGUCCGCAUGUUCACAUGAUUAAAGGUAUUCCGGUAGACGAUGGGGAUGCGUUCCAUUAGAUAGUAGGCGGGGUAACGGCCCACCUAGUCUUCGAUGGAUAGGGGUUCUGAGAGGAAGGUCCCCCACAUUGGAACUGAGACACGGUCCAAACUCCUACGGGAGGCAGCAGUGAGGAAUAUUGGUCAAUGGGCGAGAGCCUGAACCAGCCAAGUAGCGUGAAGGAUGACUGCCCUAUGGGUUGUAAACUUCUUUUAUAAAGGAAUAAAGUCGGGUAUGGAUACCCGUUUGCAUGUACUUUAUGAAUAAGGAUCGGCUAACUCCGUGCCAGCAGCCGCGGUAAUACGGAGGAUCCGAGCGUUAUCCGGAUUUAUUGGGUUUAAAGGGAGCGUAGAUGGGUGUUUAAGUCAGUUGUGAAAGUUUGCGGCUCAACCGUAAAAUUGCAGUUGAUACUGGAUAUCUUGAGUGCAGUUGAGGCAGGCGGAAUUCGUGGUGUAGCGGUGAAAUGCUUAGAUAUCACGAAGAACUCCGAUUGCGAAGGCAGCCUGCUAAGCUGCAACUGACAUUGAGGCUCGAAAGUGUGGGUAUCAAACAGGAUUAGAUACCCUGGUAGUCCACACGGUAAACGAUGAAUACUCGCUGUUUGCGAUAUACUGCAAGCGGCCAAGCGAAAGCGUUAAGUAUUCCACCUGGGGAGUACGCCGGCAACGGUGAAACUCAAAGGAAUUGACGGGGGCCCGCACAAGCGGAGGAACAUGUGGUUUAAUUCGAUGAUACGCGAGGAACCUUACCCGGGCUUAAAUUGCAGAUGAAUUACGGUGAAAGCCGUAAGCCGCAAGGCAUCUGUGAAGGUGCUGCAUGGUUGUCGUCAGCUCGUGCCGUGAGGUGUCGGCUUAAGUGCCAUAACGAGCGCAACCCUUGUUGUCAGUUACUAACAGGUUCCGCUGAGGACUCUGACAAGACUGCCAUCGUAAGAUGUGAGGAAGGUGGGGAUGACGUCAAAUCAGCACGGCCCUUACGUCCGGGGCUACACACGUGUUACAAUGGGGGGUACAGAGGGCCGCUACCACGCGAGUGGAUGCCAAUCCCCAAAACCUCUCUCAGUUCGGACUGGAGUCUGCAACCCGACUCCACGAAGCUGGAUUCGCUAGUAAUCGCGCAUCAGCCACGGCGCGGUGAAUACGUUCCCGGGCCUUGUACACACCGCCCGUCAAGCCAUGGGAGCCGGGGGUACCUGAAGUGCGUAACCGCGAGGAGCGCCCUAGGGUAAAACUGGUGACUGGGCC
rnacentral:rRNA from 1 species